AAGAACUAGUAUCGAAUCCAGUUGAAAAUAAACGCAAAAUUGUGAAGUGUGCUGUAGCAUAUAAAACUACAGGAUGUGGAAAGAAACAAAUCAACUUUAUAAACUUCGGUUGCGAUAAGUUCAGAUAUCAAAAUAGCAUCAGCCUGGCUCCUGCCAACUUUAGAUUUACGGUUCCGAAUCAACGAAGAUGGAAAAAGAAGAAAAAAUCGAGACAAAUUUCUCCUGAACUCCGAACAAUUUGAGGUAUGAUUUACCGACUCCCACACCCCUUUUCGAGGUACUUCUGCAUCAAAAGCUCAUCACAUUCCACAUGAAUCUUCCUAUUCCCUGCUCCCUCAUCACAUAUGGUGCUGCUCUGAAAGACAAAGUUUAUGAUGAUGACAGCAAUCAACAUCAACACAACAAUGGCGAUAUUGCGACAACGAUGAACGAUGAUGGUGAUGGUGAUCUGCACCCCGGUAGCGGGUCGCCUGAAACGUGAGGCCUGGUCUCGCAUUUGUCUCUCAUCAUCAACGAACGAGUGACAACAACAACAUGGGAAGCAAAAGUAACAGCAGCAGGAUCCAGGUUUCUACGGCUGGACAAUGUCUGAAGCUCACCGAAAAUCUAUCGAUUAAAAGCCGAAAAAAACGUUUCCACGGAAGUGGAAAUAGACUGAAAUUAGCGAUACAUGUAAGUAUUAAUUGAAUUUGGCA